rnacentral:rRNA from 1 species
AAUGCAUAUGGUGAAUGCCUUGACUCAUACUAGCGAUGAAGGGCGUAGCAGUCUGCGAUAAGCUUCGGGGAGGUGACUAGCAACCUUUGAUCCGGAGAUUUCCGAAUGGGAUAACCCUCCCCGCCUCGGCGGGGAAACAUUAUCUGAAUUCAUAGGAUAAUGUGGCAUACCCGGCGAACUGAAACAUCUUAUUAGCCGGAGGAAAAGAAAUCAAUUGAGAUUCCCCAAGUAGUGGCGAGCGAACGGGGAAUAGUCUAAACCAUCUCGAUUUAUCGAGAUGGGGUUGCGAGGUAAUUUUACUCGUUUAAUCGGGGUAGAAUUAUAUUUAUUAACAAAACGUCUCUGGAAAGAGCGGCCAUAGAAAGUGAAAGCCUUGUAUGUGAAAAUAUAAUAUAAUCUACGUAAUUAUUCUCAAGUAGGGCGGGACCGGUGAAAUCCCGUCUGAAUCCGGGGCCACUAUAGCUCCAAGACUAAAUAUAGUAUGAGAUCGAUAGCGAACGAGUACCGUGAGGGAAAGGUGAAAAGUAUCCCGAUGAGGGAGAUGAAAUAGUAUCUGAAACCAUAUGCUAACAAAGAGUCAGAGUCCUGGCGCAAGUCGGGAUGAUGGCGUGCUUUUUGUAGAACGAUCCAGCGAGUUAGUUCUAUGUCGUUGACUAAGCAACUUUAUGUUGCGGAGUCGUAGUGAAAGCGAGCCUGAAAGGGCGAACUUAAAUGGCAUGGACUAGACCCGAAGCCAGGUGAGCUAUUUAUGAGCAGGGUGAAUUUGCUGUAAAAGGCAAAGGAGGCCCGAACCCACGCACCGUGCAACAUGCGGGGAUGACUUGUGAAUAGAGGAGAAAUUCCAAUCGAACUUGGCGAUAGCUGGUUCUUCCCGAAAUAGCUUGAGGGCUAGCGUUUGAAAACUAUGCUUUGGAGGUAGAGCUACUGAAUGAGAAUUCGCGGUUCGCCGUAGGGUUCUCAACCAAACUCCGAAUUCCAAAGUAAUUAUUCAAGCAGUCAGAACUCCGGGGCUAAGCUCGGAGCUCAAAAGGGAAAAAGCCCAUGAUCGCAAUCUAAGGUCCCAAAAUUUAUGUUAAGUGGUAAAGGAAGUAAAGUUUCUUAUACACCUAGGAGGUUGGCUCAGAAGCAGCCAUCCUUUAAAGAGUGCGUAACAGCUCACUAGUCUAGAGACUUUGCGCCGAAAAUUCAACGGGGCUCAAACAUAAUACCGAAGAUGCGGAUGUCCGUGGCGUGGUAGGGAAGCGUUCCAUAAGCGCUGAAGGUCGAGCGUGAGCAAGGCUGGAGUUUAUGGAAGUGAGAAUGCUGGAACGAGUAACCGCAAUUGGGGUGAGAACCCCCAACACCGAAAGUCUAAGGUUUCCUGGGCAAUGUCAAUCAACUCAGGGUUAGUCGGGCCUAAGGCGAGGCCGAAAGGCGUAGUCGAUGGACACACGGUUAAUAUUCCGAGACUUUCGUGUUAUUUGAUGGAGGGACGCAUCGCUGUACUUUCUGCGAGUAAUUGGAUUCACGUAGGAGUGUUGAGAACGCAUAGUAGGAAAAUCCGCUGUGCAAUAGUUCAAAAUACUUCUCGAAUUCUGCUUUACGGCAGGAGAAGAGAAAGGAGCGCGGUGCCUGGAAAAACUUCUAAAAUUAGUAACACGAAAACCGUACUAAAACCGACACAGGUAGACUGGGCGAGUAGCCUAAGGUGAACGAGUGAACCUUCGUUAAGGAACUCGGCAAAAUAGCGUCCGUAACCUAGGGAUAUGGACUCCCCGAUGCAAAUCGGGGCGCAGCGAAAGAUACCAAGCGACUGUUUACCAAAAACACAGGUCUCUGCAAACCCGUAAGGGGAUGUAUAGGGGCUGACGCCUGACCAGUGCUGGAACGUUAACGGGAGCGGUGCAAGCCAAUCCCCGAAGCGCCAGUGAACGUCAGCGAUAACUAUAAUCGUUCUAAGUAUGGAAGAUUAUUUGCGAAAUUCCUUGACAGGUAAAUUCUGUCCCGCAUUAAAGGCGUAACGACUUGGUAACUGUCUUAACGAAGAGCUCGGUGAAAUUGCAAUGACGGUAAAGAUGCCGUCGACCUGCAGCAAGACGAAAAGACCCCGUGGAGCUUUACUACAACUUGGUAUUGAAUUUGAGAUUGUGCUGCCUAGUAUAGGUGGGAGACUUUGAAGUCCUGACUCUGGUUAGGAUGGAGUCAAAAUAUGUAAUACCACUCUGUAUAGUUUUAAAUUCUAACCCUGGGCUGUUAUCCAGUCCGGGGACAGUGCCUGGCGGGUAGUUUGACUGGGGCGGUCGCCUCCUAAAUGGCAACGGAGGCGUUUACAAAGGUUGGCUAGACUCGGAUGGAAAUCGAGUCGAUAGUGCAAAAGCAUAAGCCAGCUUUACUGCGAGACUUAUUAGUCGAUCAGUUACGAAAGUAGAAUUUAGUGAACCGACUGUCGCAAAUAGAUGCGCAGAAGAUCAUCAGAUAAAAGUUACCCCGGGGAUAACAGGCUGAUCCCAUCCAAGAGUCCAUAUCGACGAUGGGGUUUGGCACCUCGAUGUCGGCUCAUCGCAUCCUGGGGCUGGAGAAGGUCCCAAGGGUUUGGCUGUUCGCCAAUUAAAGCGGUACGUGAGCUGGGUUCAAACCGUCGUGAGACAGGUUGGUCUCCUAUCUGCUGUAGGCGUUAUUGCUUGAGAGGACUUUUUCCUAGUACGAGAGGACCGGAAAGAACAAACCUCUGGUGUACCAGCUGUUCCGCCAGGAGCACUGCUGGGUAGCUACGUUUGGACGGGAUAACCGCUGAAAGCAUAUAAGCGGGAAGCCCACCUCAAGAUUAGGCAAUCCCCGACGCAAGUCGGGGCGAUUUCCUGGAAGAUGACCAGGUUGAUAGGUCUCAGGUGAAAGCAGAGCGAUCUGUUAAGCCAAGAGAUACUAAUAAAUU